AGUGGGGAAUUUUGGACAAUGGGCGCAAGCCUGAUCCAGCAAUGCCGCGUGAGUGAAGAAGGCCUUCGGGUUGUAAAGCUCUUUUGUCAGGGAAGAAACGGGAUUGGCUAAUAUCCAGUCCUAAUGACGGUACCUGAAGAAUAAGCACCGGCUAACUACGUGCCAGCAGCCGCGGUAAUACGUAGGGUGCAAGCGUUAAUCGGAAUUACUGGGCGUAAAGCGUGCGCAGGCGGUUUUGUAAGUCUGACGUGAAAUCCCCGGGCUUAACCUGGGAAUUGCGUUGGAGACUGCAAGGCUAGAAUCUGGCAGAGGGGGGUAGAAUUCCACGUGUAGCAGUGAAAUGCGUAGAGAUGUGGAGGAACACCGAUGGCGAAGGCAGCCCCCUGGGUCAAGAUUGACGCUCAUGCACGAAAGCGUGGGGAGCAAA
rnacentral:rRNA from 1 species